GACGAACGCUGGCGGCGUGCCUAACACAUGCAAGUCGAACGGAGAAAAGAAGCUUGCUUCUUUUCUUAGUGGCGGACGGGUGAGUAACGCGUGAGUAACCUGCCUUUCAGAGGGGGAUAACGUUCUGAAAAGAACGCUAAUACCGCAUAAGACUACAGAGCUGCAUGGCUCAGUGGUCAAAGGAGCAAUCCGCUGAGAGAUGGACUCGCGUCCGAUUAGAUAGUUGGCGGGGUAACGGCCCACCAAGUCGACGAUCGGUAGCCGGACUGAGAGGUUGAACGGCCACAUUGGGACUGAGACACGGCCCAG
rnacentral:rRNA from 1 species